rnacentral:rRNA from 1 species
AUUGAACGCUGGCGGCAGGCCUAACACAUGCAAGUCGAACGAGUGGCGGACGGGUGAGUGAUGUCUGGGGCAAUGCGCGCAGGAGGGGGGUACCUACUGGAACCGGGAGCUAAUACCGCAUACGCUACGGUGUGCCCAGAGGGGAUUAGCUUGUUGGUGGGGGACCGGCGCCCCCAGGCGACGCUCCCUAGCUGGUCUGAGAGGAUGACCAGACACACUGUAACGGAGACACGGUGCAGAGUCCGACGGGAGGCAGCAGUGGGGAAGAUUGCACAAUGGGCGCAAGCCUGAUGCAGCCAUGCCGCGUGUAUGAAGAAGGCCUUCGGGUUGUAAAGUACUUUCAGCGGGGAGGCGUUACCCGCAGAAGAAGCACCGGCUAACUCCGUGCCAGCAGCCGCGGUAAUAC